UAAUAAUAUCAUGCAUAGAAAGUGCCCAGCACAAUUCCUGGUGUAGUGUACAUUCUCAGUAAAGCAUGGUCUCAGAUUUUACAUCUAUCAAAUCAUUGUAAUACUAUGCUAUCAAAAUACUUUAUAUUUAAGUCGUAAAUAGCAGUUUCCUCAAAUUCUAUCCUUCAUGUACCACUUUUGGGGUUUUGCCAUAUCUGUGCACCAAUGGUACUAAUAUUACUUAAUAUUUUUCUUUAACUGUACUCAUCUUUGAAAAAUGUAGCAUUUAUUUCAGUUGGUUUCAUGAAAAUUAGCAUAUUACCCAUGAACUUGGGAGUUGUUGUACUGGUGAAUCUAGUAUGUUUAAAAAUCAAUAUGUAAUUAUUAAAAUAGAAAACUAUGGCCACGUGCCCCCUGAAAUAAUCUCAUGAACCACCAUUGUAUGCCUACUACACUUUGGAAAACACUUAUUUAUGUGAAAGUUUGUUAUUAUUAUAUUUUCAACCUUUCCUUUUCAGGACUUGGAAGCUAAGGCCCAGAGAGGAGGAGAAACUUGAUCAAAGUCAAUCAGACAAUGCAGAAUCGAGAAAAGUACCUGGACUUCUAUGCCCAUGCUUCUAGCAGCCAGCCUCCUAAAAUACCUCUAGUUGAAGCCAAAGUUAGAAUCCUUCUAUGAAACUACAGGAUUAAAAUGGGAUGGUUACAUGACCCAGGCUUGACCAAUCAGAUCAUCCAAACCCUUUGCCACAGUGAUUGGUCCAGGGAUACAUGCAUGAGCCAGCUCAGGUAAAUGAGGCUCAAUUAUGAGAAUUUUGUUAGCGCAAUUGGGGAAAAAAAGUUUUCUUUCCAUGAGAACUAUCAGCUAUAAGAAUGUUGGAUGUUUCCAUCUGCUGGAGUCCAUGAAGA
rnacentral:antisense_RNA from 1 species